UACGUAGGGUGCAAGCGUUAUCCGGAAUUAUUGGGCGUAAAGAGCUCGUAGGCGGUCUGUCGCGUCGAUCGUGAAAACUUGGGGCUUAACCCUGAGCUUGCAGUCGAUACGGGCAGACUAGAGUUCGGCAGGGGAGACUGGAAUUCCUGGUGUAGCGGUGAAAUGCGCAGAUAUCAGGAGGAACACCUGCGGCGAAGGCGGGUUGCUGGGCCGACACUGACGCUGAUGCGCGAAAGCCAGGGGAGCGAACGGG
rnacentral:rRNA from 1 species